rnacentral:rRNA from 1 species
GGAGCGUUCUGUAAGCCUGCGAAGGUGUGCUGUGAGGCAUGCUGGAGGUAUCAGAAGUGCGAAUGCUGACAUAAGUAACGAUAAAGCGGGUGAAAAGCCCGCUCGCCGGAAGACCAAGGGUUCCUGUCCAACGUUAAUCGGGGCAGGGUGAGUCGACCCCUAAGGCGAGGCCGAAAGGCGUAGUCGAUGGGAAACAGGUUAAUAUUCCUGUACUUGGUGUUACUGCGAAGGGGGGACGGAGAAGGCUAUGUUGGCCGGGCGACGGUUGUCCCGGUUUAAGCGUGUAGGCUGGUUUUCCAGGCAAAUCCGGAAAAUCAAGGCUGAGGCGUGAUGACGAGGCACUACGGUGCUGAAGCAACAAAUGCCCUGCUUCCAGGAAAAGCCUCUAAGCAUCAGGUAACAUCAAAUCGUACCCCAAACCGACACAGGUGGUCAGGUAGAGAAUACCAAGGCGCUUGAGAGAACUCGGGUGAAGGAACUAGGCAAAAUGGUGCCGUAACUUCGGGAGAAGGCACGCUGAUAUGUAGGUGAAGUCCCUUGCGGAUGGAGCUGAAA